GCUGUAACUCAGUGGCAGAGCAUCCGCUUCGCAUGCAGAAGGUUCCAAGUUCAAUCCCUAGCAUCACCA